rnacentral:rRNA from 1 species
AUUGAACGCUGGCGGCAUGCCUUACACAUGCAAGUCGAACGGCAGCACGGGUGCUUGCACCUGGUGGCGAGUGGCGAACGGGUGAGUAAUAUAUCGGAACGUACCUUAUUGUGGGGGAUAACGCAGCGAAAGCUGUGCUAAUACCGCAUAAUCCCUAAGGGGGAAAGCGGGGGACCGUAAGGCCUCGCGCAAUUAGAGCGGCCGAUACCUGAUUAGCUAGGUGGGGAGGUAAAGGCUCACCAAGGCAACGAUCAGUAGCUGGUCUGAGAGGACGAGCAGCCACACGGGGACAGAGACAGGGCCCAGACUCCGGCGGGAGGCAGCAGUGGGGAAUUCUGGGCAAUGGACGAGAGUCGGAUCCAGCCAUUCCGCGUGCAGGACGAAGGCCUUCGGGUUGUAAACUGCUUUUGGACAGAACGAAAAGGUCUCUAUUAAUACUAGGGGCUCAUGACGGUACUGUAAGAAUAAGCACCGGCUAACUACGUGCCAGCAGCCGCCGUAA